UGCAUAACAUGUUCCAUUAUUCUACUUUAAUCCAGCAGUCUAGAUCUGCGACAUACUUGGCUAUUUCCAAGAAGUGUUAGAUCUGAAUGGUUUUUUUUCAGGAUUUCCAUGAUUUUACUGCCAGGCAAUUUUGCUGAAAGUAACUUGAUUUUCCCCUGUAUCUCAUACGAUGGGAAAGAACUUAUAAUAGUCAGGAGUUUAUAUGAUAUGAUGCCUUAGGAUUUUUUCUUGCAAUUGUGAUGUAAUUCUUACACAAUGUGUGUGUUAAUUUGUACAGAUGACAUACUGCAGGGAAUGUGAAUUGGAAGCUGUCACUUAGGACUAUAUAUCUAUAACAACAGUAAGUUAAGAACAGGAUCAGAGUGCUCUGACUCAUGAGUUGUGAUGAUCAGCUUGUGACGGCUGUAAUGUUUCCUGCUCCCAGCUGCCCAUUCCACCCCGUGACAUGCCCUUUACAAGCCCCAGCUGCAGAGGUGGCUCAGCUGUUCAUGUAGCAGCUGCUGCAGAUUGGCAAUUUGUAGCUAAGCACAUUAAGGUAACCCAAAGUAAUUUCUGACUUGCCAUAAAACAUUGGGCUGUCAAUGAUAGUUCUUCAACAGCUAUUCUCUAACCAAGACAUAGUUGCAACACAACCAAAAAUCUCCGGGGAACAGGGGACAAAACUUCUGUCAGUAACCUUAAGGAGCCAAGAUGUUGGAUGGGAGAAGUUAUGCUGUGUACUGUGCUGCGAAACUCAGGAACAUUUUCACUACCUUUGUUAAGAAUAGAUGCCCUAGACUUAACCCAGCUUCACAUUCAGAUGGAGCACAUCCAAGACAACUCAUCUCUUAUCAUGAAUCAGAACUCCUGGAGUGGGAGUCAGAUCUAGACCCAGAAGCUUAAGUUUGGAUGUCUAUAGGGUGAAUUUAGAUUUGUGAGGUACACGUUCAAUGUACAAAAGAUUCAGUGACAAUAGUCAGUGGAGCCUUGAGAUUCAUUUUAGAUCAUUUUUGGGUUAUAUCCUCCCAUUUCAUUGAUUGUGCCAUAAGUAAAGCUUAAUGAAUCAUAUUCCUGUGUUUAUUUCUGAACGUAUUAACAACUCUGCGCCUCUUUUCUUUUUUUGUCCAUGUUUCUCUUUCCUAUCUGUUGGUAAUACUUCUCGAGUCUCUUUGGGAUGUAACUGUCAGAGUCAUCAUGCACUCUUACAGGAAACUCAUGAAUGUUAGUGUUUUACAUAGUUUUUGCUCUGCACAACAGUCUCAACUUAGAGAUGCUCCAGUUUGGCUUAACACUGAGGCUAUAGGCAGUAGAGGGGCAACUGGCAUCAUUUGGAGUCUCUUCUCUCGCACACAAACUGUCAAGUGUCUCAUUGGAUCAAUAAGAUUUUUUUAAGAGUGUGGAAUGGCUUGCUCUUUUUUCUGUCUCUCAUCCACAUGAAAUGGCAUUGUGUGUUACCUUAUUAAUCAUUCAGUUGUGCCUUUUCCUCCUGUAGUCUCUUUAGGAGCGCAGCUGUUGUCUUGGGCUCAGUUAUAGUGAGUCCUUUGUGGUUCACUAUGUCCCUUGGUGACUUCAUCUGCCAGGAGAUUGCUUGUGUAGCCAGAGCACCUUCAAUUUUCUUCCAAUAUUCCCAGCGUUUUAAUAGUAGAAGAAUUCCCCUUAGGUCUGAAAUGUAUCCCUGUGGUGACCAUCAUUACGUUUCCCCUUCCUUCCAAUAUUAUAUUUUCCAGUGUUUUUCAAUAGCUUGUCUUUUAAACGCUAUUCUUUACAAGUGUGUCUGAGAUUAAACGGGAACAUUGUUCAAAGACAAAAGGGCUACUGGUAGAACAGAUGUCACUUGCGGGACUGUAUAUCCCCUUCCCCUGGCAACCGACAGAAGUUCUGGCUAACUUGUAAGUGGGCAUCAUGCCCUCCCAACAGAUGGUCAGAAGUGCAGGGAGCCAAAAACCCAUCUAUGGGCAUGAAAUAUGUUGAAGAGGGUCAUGUCUAGACACAAAUGUUGAACCAGCUUUUUGGGCUGAGCUUCUGUGCCCACAGUCAGUCUAAAAGAAAGGACAUGUUUUUUAAAAAAGGAACAUUCUACAUUAACAUAUGGCUGCUUUGGUGUUUAGAGCUGCUGAAGGGAGAUCAAGAAGUAAGCAGAGUAGCUGAGUUUCACAAAAUUAGUUCAAGGAAUCAGAGAAAUCUGCAGUACAGUUGCUCAGAUAAACAUAUGUAGCCUUAGAACAAAAUUUCACAUUUGUUUUCAUAGAAAAUUGAACCUGUUUUCUUAUGGCUUUCACAUUGUCAUAUUUACCAACAACUUUAAAAAUCAGAGCAGUUUUUAUUGUCACAAAUCUGUCUCGGGAACUAAAGAAGUUAUCACAUGGAUUAAUGAGAACAGUUUUGGCAUGUGGCUUUUUAUUACACUUAUCAUCAUGCAGAAGAACCUGAUUAGUUUUUAGCAAGUUUUAGGAGGAAGUCUGUGUCGUAUGCUACUGUAGCUGAGCGAGGAAAUGUAUAUUGCGACAAGGAUGCAUAACUAGACCAAGAUUUUUGCCUUAAUUUUUUUACAGCUGAAAAUGCUUACUAACACGCAGCCUAUACUUUAAUCACCGUCUGCCUUUGCUCUUACCUUAGCCAUCUGAACUUAAAAAUCAAGCAGUUUUAAAUCAGUUGCAUGGUGUGCUAGGUAAAGCCGUAACAAGUUGUGACAAAUAAAAGUUUACUGACUAAUAUUAAGAAAUUAAGAGAUUUUUAUACAUCAAAGCAACUCAGCUGCAGAAUUUGUUUUUUGCACAUGUGUAAUAGAGGAGCUGACUUCAGCUUUGAAGGAAAAAGGAGGCAAGGAUUCAGGAACUGCGAGUGAGUUAGUAUUUUCAUGCGAGACGAGAAACCGAAAGAAUGAGAUUGUUCAUUGCUGUGCCCUGAGAAGGAUGGCACUGGAGGACCACGUACUGGUACAAAAGAGGGGCGACAGUCAGUCUUCACUCUGCAUCACUAGUGCAUUCAGACAGCUUUGGAAGACCGCCUUCCUUGAGGAAAAAGGGAAGUCAGCAUCUAGGUAGUUCAUGCUCUGGCAGAAACACUACUCACAUGCAACUACAAUUUGAAGAGUAUGCCUUUCCCUGCAGUGGCCUGGCUAGAGAUUAUUAGGAUGUUUCAUUUAUAAGUAGUAAUAAGCAGGUAUUGGGUAGUGAUUUUUUCAUUCACUAGCAAGCCUGUUUCAAUGAUCUAGGGCUGAAAAGUCAUAUAUUACAUUGUCUUUCACUUACACUUUUUGAAUCCAACUCCAUUCAGCUUCACAUUGAUUCCCCAGCUAUACUUUUCACUGUGAUUUCUGGGUAUUAUGAAUUCUGUCAUUUUUUAGAUUAACCAAAAUCAUUUGUGUUUUUUUAUAACUUACUUUUGUAUGGAUGUGCUAUUUGAAUUCAUGCAUGUGUUUCUAUGGUUGAUGGAGAUUAUGAAGUCAAUCAGUAAGUGAGACAGCAGCACACAUUCAGCAUCCACAUUAGUUAGUUCAUACAAGCAUGAUUUUUUUCAGCUCUUCGUAUGUUGUACCAGUACACAGUGGUCUGUGAACUCAAUUCCAGAUUCCUGGUAUUUACCAGCUCAUUUUCCAUUCUGUUUUGGCCCAAAUUUCUUUGGCCAUAAACAUUACUAUGCUAAAAUACUAGCUGACACAAAGUCUCAUGAGCAUUGUGAAGUUUGCUUUUUAAUAGUGUUUUAUUUAAAUGAUGAACUUCACUGCUGUGUUGAAUUAUGGUGCUUGCUCCAGCAGUGUUUUCAGGCUCCUUGUCUUUCUAACAUUUAAACCACAUGCAGAAAGGUAAGGAAUGGGGACACAAUAGUAUAUGUGUGUAUGAGCACUGAGAAGAUGGCUAAUCAAGUACCUACUCAAGAGACUGUGGAAGCCAAAGGCUCUCCCAGACCAGCAGGCCUGGCACGAACCUUUCAUAUUUUGCAAGAAGAGAAGUAAUUUCAUCCUUGUGUAUAGGCACAAGUUAAAUACUAUCCUGGUUAAUACAUAGAUUCACAUAUUUACAGAAAAAAAAUCUGAUAGAGAUUCUUACUAUUGCAACAUCAUCAGGUGGUUUUUGGUAGUAAAGGAGCACGCAUCACAGGCUGCUGAUCUGGCUGCAUGCUGAGAAUGCAGACCUACAUCAACCACCAUAGGAGUGUCUUAGCCACUGGGCUAUAGGCCACAGGGAGGACAAAGGUUUUCAUCUUUCUUGUUGAGGCUGAGCCACAGCGUGGCAUGGGGAGCUUGAGGAGACUGAAGGGCUAAACCUUCAGCUUGUGGGCGGUCUGAAAGAUGACAAUUUUUAAAAUAUGUAGCUUCAGAUUUACCUGCAUUCUGCACAGAAAAUGAAAUGGUCAUCUUUGAGUCUGAAUAUGCAGUUUGCACAGGAUCCUGCCUGUUUUCCCCACUCAGAAGCUUCUAUCUUAUCAAAUUAUCCAGUAGUCAUUCGGUUAGUAAAUGUGCCAUGUCAAUGAAUGAUUAUUAAUCAAACAUGCUUAUGCAUUUUACCAUGGUUAAUUCUACACACUUACUGCUGGAUGAAUUAGGAGAUUAUUGGUGUGGUUAAUUUGAAUGACACAUUUGACGCAUAAUGCAGAACUUUGCUUUCUCAUUUGUAGACAAAACUGCUGGGACGUAGGGUGAAUUGAGAGAUCCAGUGAGCACCAUCACCUCACAUAGGCUGUUUCUGUAAGUUUUCUUCAGAAGAAGCAAUAAUUUUCAGUAGCCACCAUGCAAGCAGCUUUAUUUAGGGUUCAGCAUCAGUGCAAGCACCUCUCUCCAUUGUCCUUUUUCACUCCUUUCUGCUACCAGCGCUGCAUGCUUCCCACAUCUUCAAACAAAUGGGAACUGAAGGCCACGCUGGAAAUUGAUCUGUUUGCAGGCUUGCAUCGUCUGGAGCCUUUAAAGGAAUAUCUCUCUCAUUUUCUUCUAUAAUGUGUGUCAACAUUAUUAAGCAAAUAUUCAGAUCAUUCACAGCAUUCCUCUCAUCGACAUGUUAAAACCUCCCUGCUGGAGUGGGAAGUGGAGCCUUCAUCGCAUUGUGGUUGGCAAACUCCUCGACGCUUUAUUUUGGGAGCUCAGCUGGCUGCUACAGAGGGACAGUUUCCGUUCCGUCUGAGCACAUCCUGUGCUGGUUAAAUACCUCAAUCAUGAACAUAUGUUACAGGAAAUGCAGUUAUAGCACAUAGGUUUUUUUUUUUUUAAUUUUUUAUUCUUAGACUUAUGACUAAAGGGCAGUGUCAAAGUUCAUGGUCUAAAAGAUGAGAGUUCUUGACAGCCAUUUUUUUUUUUUUAGGUUCUUUAACUUGAAACAUUAUUCUUUUUGGUUUUAAAUGGCUAUUUAAAGCUGUAACUUACAGUAAACAAUUAAAUACCUUUGGUGAAGUUGAUUAGCUUAUGAGAGACAGAUCCUAGUGUUUACAAACCCAAUAAAAGAGCGUUAUUUAACUAGAAAAGUUGAAUUCUUUCAAAGUUUGUUUGCUUAAGUUCUUCUGAGUUAUUUUUUCCACUGUUCAGGAAAGGAAGCUGCAUUAUAUCCAGCUUUGUAGUCCUGCAGGCAGGAGAUGCCAUCACUUCUUUCUCUCUUAUUUUUAGUUUAUUUUGCUGUAAAAUAUAAAUAUGUAUGUUUCAGAUAGAACCAUACAAUGUAAUAAAUACAGCCCUAAAACAUAUUUUAAAAUAAAGCAAAUAAUCUGUCUUGUACUUUGCAAAUUAAAGCAUUCAAAAAGAGUCUUAAACAAAAAUGCCAGGAGCACAAACUUUUAUCUUCCUAUUGUACAGAACAGCAGCUCUUCCUCAAAUAGUCCUGCUGUGUCUUUUUGAGGAGUUAUGGCCUCUUCCUUGCUAAUAAGACUUUGUCACACAAUAUUUAAUUAUGUUUAAUUACAGCUAUAGAAGAUCUCUUCUUAUAGUAGUUUAGGCAAAGAUCCUAUGUUAGCGAGUAGAGACUGAAUAAAAAUUGUAGGGUUGGACUGUAGCUGCUAAGAAGCCAAAUGUGCAAUGAGACGUUUUUGUGUAAUGCUUAUGUGGUACUGAAUACUUGAUCCAUAAUUCUCACCAGUUAAGCCUUUGAUAACUGUGAUACUAGCUGGAAAAACAUAAAGAUCUCAAGUGACUGCAGAACUCAUUGCUUAUUAUUUUUAUUUAUUUUCUAUGUAUGCAAACUUUUUAGCUCUGUUCCAAUCACAGUGUUGCAUUUGUUGAACAUAUUGCUUGUUACAGCUUCUGUAUAAAAAACAAACUUUGUUUAGAUCAAUAUUCAAAAUCCUGUGAGAUUCAGAACAAUUUUCCCUGGACAUAAAUUAUUUCUUCAUGCAUUAAUAUCAAGAAGAGAGAGCAAGGAAGAAAAAUCCCUAUAAAAUUCCCCCUGGAGAACUUACAGUUUGGGAAAAAAAGAAGUUUGUAUUCUGCUUAGUGAAGGAAGGAGCCUGGAAAACAUAUGAUCUUCUUGUGCCAGUGCUCCUCCAGUUGCUUUGCAGUUCCUUCGUAGCCAGUUGGAUCUGUUCUCUACACGUGCAGUGGUGCGUGGUGGUGUAUGAUCCAUCUUCUGCAGCAAAAGAGAAACAUCUUUUCCAGAAGGAUACAGACUCCAAAGGAUGCUCCCUUGCUGGAGCUGGUAAAUGGUCCAAUUCCACUUUUAAGGAAAUAGCAGCAGUGGAUGAUGUCUCCAGGUUUCCAUUUGUUAUUUCAGAAAGUUAUUAAUGACAGGAAACAGCGAUCCUUGCCUUUUUUUCCUGAAAUAUUUCAAGAUGGAAGAUGUUCGAAAGACUUAUUUUUAAGCUGGUUUGAGCAAAUAGGAGUGCGGCCGUAGAGGCAUGACAGUGGCUGAUGGCAUUUUUCUCCUAGCUGGUUUAGAAAACAAGCCAAGCUUUAAGCUAAACUGAGCAGCUUUAGUGUCAAUAACAAGCCGGAAUUGGUGCAGGGGACCCCAUCCGUGAAAGAUCUGCUUUCUCCUGGCUCAGCCUCAUCUGUUUUGUACCGGUUGACUUGUCUGAGCUUGAAAUCUCAGGUGGAGCAGUCCUAGUGGAAGUCUGUCUGUCCCCUGGGUGUGCAUUCUUGCUAUACAGAUUUCCACGAUCUACAUAACAUAGGAAGUUGCACCGAAGAAAAUAUGAUGCUACCUUUUAAAUACUAUCCAGUUUGAUGGAAGGGAUUAUUCCUGUCAGUAGAAUUUGCAGGCAGAAGUUGCUACAGAUGAAAUUGAUCUGCUGUGAUGUCUUUUGAAAAAAGGAUAAUAUGAAAUUUCAUACUUUAUGUUUAAAACAUUACUUUUCCUUUCCUUUGCACUGAAAAGUGGGAGAACAGCCAGAUCCUGGGUGGCUUUUGAAUGUUUUGUCAGUCCUUUCUCACGUAAAACUUUGAGUUAAUUUGUGAGAAUUUGCUUGAGAAUGUUCUUCAGUGUUUGACUCUGUGUCAACUAAUUCAACUAUCCUAUUUCCAAGAAGUAAGUCACCAGAAGAUAUAAAUGUAUGUGCUGGAGUGUAAUGAUGCUAUGAUAACCAUCACUGGUCCAGACAGUUGUAUGGGGUUGGAUGGAACAAAAUGAUGAGAAAAAAACAUAUGGGUUUGAAUUGUAACACUCGAUUUCAACUUUUUUUUUAAUGCUUUCUGCUCCCUGUCCCUCCCCACCCCCCCUUAUUUUUUGCAGGCUUUGUCUCAUUUCCUAGUAUAUAUUUGCAAGGUUAAAUAGCCAGAGCAAGUUAUUUUGGUGGUGUUACUUCUUCACAGCAGCAUGAAGCUGUGACAUUCAAUCCACAGCAGUGGAGCCAAAUAGCGCUGGAGGAUCUCUGCGUACAUUAUUUAUGUCAGACAUCAAAGCGAGAGGCUCGCAUUUAGGUCUCACCUCACCCUUAGGAUCAAAUUUAAAGGCAGUGGCAAUGCUGUUGUGAGUCACGCAUCAACUGUAAAUUGUUUACAAAACAUAUCUGAAUGUUAAACCACCUCAGAUCGUUGCGGUGUGAUUAGACGGUGAGUGUAAUUUACGUGCUGAACAGCAGAGAAGUUCUUCCUUGUACUAACAAGCAUACAUUAAACAUGGCUCUUGCCGGUUUCCUUCCCUUAAUA